rfam:Erinaceus europaeus unplaced genomic scaffold scaffold00704, whole genome shotgun sequence
GGAUGUGAGGGCGAUCUGACUUCGACAUCUGUCACCCCAUUGAUCGCCUGGGUUGAUUCAGUUGAUCUGGCUGGCUAGGCGGAUGUCCCCUUCCUCCCUCACUGCUCCAUGUGCGUCCUUCCCAAAGCUACAUGGGAUGGCCUUCUGUUGAGUGUAUACAAGUAGCUGCACUCCCCUGCUAGAACUUCCAAAGAAGCUCUCAAAGAUCCCGGUUUGAGCCCCUGGCUCCCCACCUGCAGGGGAGUCGCUUCACAGGCGGUAAAGCCGGUCUGCAGGUGUCUCUCUUU